rnacentral:rRNA from 1 species
CGCGUAGGUUGUUCUGUGUGUCUACCGUGAAAGCGUACGGCUCAACCGUAUUUUGUCGGUAGAAACUGCAGGACUUGAGGCUGGGAGGGGCUGGUGGAAUUCCCUGUGUAGCGGUGAAAUGCGUAGAGAUGGGGGAGAACACUCGUGGCGAAGGCGGCCAGCUAGACCAGUUCUGACACUGAGGCGCGACAGCGUGGGGAGCAAACA